UUUUUUUUUUUUUUUUAAGAUUUUAUUUAUUCAUUUGAGACUGAGAGAUACAGAGAGAGGGAGCGUGAGCAGCGGGAGAGGCAGAGGGAGUAGGAGAAGCAACACUCCCCGAUGAGCUAGAGCUCGAUGCGGGGCUUGAUCCCAGGACCUGGAAAUCAUGACCUGAGCCCAAGACAGAUGCUUAAUCAUCUGAACCACCCAGGUGUCCCAGCACUCCUUUUUUAUGAAUCCUCCCAUUGGCUCAGCCAGCCAGCUAAAAUACAGCACACAUACCUUAAGCAAGACAUCAUACUGGUAUUUAAAGAUGAUUCCCUUUUUAUCAUAAGAAGAAAAAUAAAGAUAGAACAUUGUCAUGAGCUGAUGUUUAUGUUGCCCCCAGAUUCCUACAUUGAAGUCCUAACCACAAGGUGAUGUAACUGGAGGUGGGGCAUUUGCAAGGGGAUUAGGCUUAGAUUCAGUCAGGAGGGUGGAGCCCUUAUGAUGAGAUUUGUACCCUUAUAUGACAAGAAGAGAGAAUCUCUCUCCAUGUUCAUGCGCCAUGCACACACAGAGAAAAGGAGGCCAUCUGCAAGCCAGGGAGUGGCUCCCAUCAGACAGCAAAUCUGCUGGCACCUUAAUCUGGGACUUCCCAACCUCCUAAACAGGGAGAAAUAGGUAUCUGUUGUUUAAGUCACCCAUUCUAUGGCAUUUUGUUAUAGUAGCCCCAGCUAAGACAGAAAUCAUUUCAUAAAUGUAUUGUAAAAAUUAAAGAGCUCAGCUGCAAGCCUCUUUACAAGGCACUAGAGAAAUGCUCAGCUGGGCAUGGCUGGUGCUUUCACCAAUACCAAGCCUAAUGGAACCCAUCCGCUGCCAGACCAAUCCUAGAAACAAGAAUUUGGUCUGUUGGUGGGAAUGUGAGCUAGGAGUUGCCCUAGCUGGUUUGAAUCCUAUGCAGGAUCCUGUGUAGGGGAUCCUAACCUAAGGCUUUGCCUUGUAGCAAUCACAUAACAAAAGGAACAGAGUUGAGGGUUGUAUUUAAAUGGUCUUCCUAAAUCUGACUUCAUUACCCACCACUCUGCUCCCUCCUUGAAGACAAGUACUAAUGCUGACACAGCUAAGUUAGCUAAUUGUAGUCUACCUCUAAGAUUGCAAAAAGGAAUAAAAAGGCAUCAGCAUUUGUCCUAAGACACUGUCUCUUUGUGCUUAGUAUUUUCAAGUUACAGCCCUUUAGACAGCAGUAAUUUGAAGAGUAAAACUCUCUUUGGAGAUAUGAUUGACACAGGAGCUCUCUGUCCCUAACAGAAACAGAAAAUUUAAAAGUCUCUUUAAAUUGCAGUUUAAAGUCCCCAAGUCCUUCUCCAAAUAAAAUGGAUGCAGAGGAUCCACCUCCCUUCAACAUCCAUUCCAAACGGUCUAAAAUAUGCAACCUCUAUAGAGAAAAAAGAAAGAAAAACAUCAUUAUGUGUUACUUGAUAUUUGAAAUUAAUAUUUCCUCAGUCACUGCUAGAAUCAUUGUUUUUCUUUCUGAUGGGAAGUAUCACUCAAGAAGUCUCCAGCUUAAAAAAAAAAUGAGAAAGUUUUCAAGAUAACACAUGGUUAAAUAGAAACCUCUUCUGUUCAGAAGACUUUCUGGCAAAAGAAACAGCGCUCCCUCACAGCAGGGUGCAUUUGUAAUGGGGCUGCGAAUUCAUGGGAGCAUUUGGCCUGCCUUUGCAUCGAUGGCUAAGGCCCUUCUACCACAGCUCUGAUUUAAAUCACUCUGCAGUCCAUGGGUGAAUAAUGCAAUAAUGGACUCAGACAAAAACAAGAAUUACUACUGAGACAUGCACAUCUCCUCCCCCUAUUUCCAAAGAGCAAAAGAAAAAUCAAUGUAUUUCACUCCUUUAUUUAUUAACAAUGAUUCUUUUUCUUUUGGUGUAUAAGGAUCGAAAAAAAUAGCUGCAGGAGGCAAGACUCUUAAACAGAAAAAAUAUACGACCUGAGUGUCUCCCCUAUCAGUGAGUUCAUAAAGUCUGACUCAACCCUAAAAUGGCAACAGCACAACUUUGCCUCUGAAAUUGUCUAAUUAAACCUACAAACCCAAGCCAAGAAGACACUUUCCUUCAAUUGAAACAAUCCAUGAAUAGUAUUUCAAACCAGCUCUGAAUGGUUUGGACUUAAACACACCAUUCUGAAACCCCUUACAAGCCUUCCCAUAAGCAGUCACAGCAUGAUGGCUGCCGUCAUGAAUAUCAAAGGUGUAGCACCCCUGUGGAUGGGGACAGGGACCCUUUCCUGUACAGCAGCUUGGAUUACAACUGGGUGAUUGAACAUAAAGCUAAUGCUUUCCUCACCCGAUCAUCACCUCAACAGAGUAACAUCCUUAUUUUUCAUUAAAACAAUAUGUAAUUUACAUUGUUAUGACUAUGAACCCAGACUGCCAUGCUUGAAAUACUGACUCCAAAGGGUACCAGUUAUGUGGCUUUGUACACCAUUUUCCGUAAUGGUAGGAAGAAAACUGUGUCCACAUCCAUUUCAUGGGUUGCUGUGAGGGUUAAGUGAAUGAUUAUGUGCAAACACUGAAAAGAGUGCCUGGUAUAGGAUGAGUGCCUUCUAAAUGCACAAUCAGAAUAGAUUUCCUUUCUUGUUCAUCCUCUUUUCUUUGCCUCACUUUUCAUUUACUUAACAUUCUAUAUAACUUUCACUAUUAUAUCCUGAAAACUCCCACAAGUUUCUAAAAUUCUUUUCAUUGCAUUUAUUACACGAUGUAGUAUUCAUUGGCCUUCCUCAAAGAUAGUUCUCUUGGAGUGCUCCAUCCUCCUGUUACAAUCUGCCCAGGCUCCAUGGCCUGAUGUACACUUGAAAUCAGGCAUUCCCUUCACUUUCUACUAUGUGGGUUCUUGACUUGAUUCCAAGUCCCAUGUCUUCCUCCUUCUUUUUUUUUUUCUUUUAAGAUUUUCUUUAUUUAUUCCUUAGAAACACAGAGAGGCAAAGACAAG
rnacentral:lncRNA from 1 species